UACGUAGGGCGCAAGCGUUGUCCGGAAUUAUUGGGCGUAAAGAGCUCGUAGGCGGUCUGUCGCGUCCGUUGUGAAAACUCGAGGCCUCAACCUCGGGCUUGCAGUGGAUACGGCAGACUAGAGUGCGGUAGGGAGACUGGAAUUCCUGGUGUAGCGGUGAAAUGCGCAGAUAUCAGGAGGAACACCGGUGGCGAAGGCGGGUCUCUGGGCCGAUACUGACGCUGAGGAGCGAAAGCGUGGGGAGCGAACAGG
rnacentral:rRNA from 1 species